GACGAACGCUGGCGGCGCGCUUAACACAUGCAAGUCGAACGGUAAGGCCCUUCGGGUUACACGAGUGGCGAACGGGUGAGUAACACGUGGGUGAUCUGCCCUGCACUUCGGGAUAAGCCUGGGAAACUGGGUCUAAUACCGGAUAGGACCACUGCCUGCAUGGGUGGUGGUGGAAAGCUUUUGCGGUGUGGGGAUGGGCCCGCGGCCGUUCAGCUUGUUGGUGGGGUGAUGGCCUACCAAGGCGACUGCGGGUAGCCGGCCGGAGAGGGUGACCGGCCACACUGGGACUGAGAUACGGCCCAGAGUCCUUCGGGGGGCAGCAGGGGGGAAUAUUGGACAAUGGGCGCGAGCCUGAUGCAGCGACGCCGCGUGAGGGAUGACGGCCUUCGGGUUGUAAACGUCUUUCAGCACCGACGAAGCGCAAGUGACGGUAGGUGCAGAAGAAGGACCGGCCAACUACGUGCCAGCCGCCGCCGAA
rnacentral:rRNA from 1 species